rnacentral:rRNA from 1 species
UACGGAGGGUGCAAGCGUUAUCCGGAAUUACUGGGUUUAAAGGGUGCGUAGGCGGUAGUAUAAGUCAGUGGUGAAAGUUUGCUGCUUAACAGUAGAAUUGCCAUUGAUACUGUAUUACUUGAAUUAGGAUGAGGAUGGCGGAAUGAGACAUGUAGCGGUGAAAUGCAUAGAUAUGUCUUAGAACACCGAUUGCGAAGGCAGCUAUCUAGGCCUUAAUUGACGCUGAGGCACGAAAGCGUGGGGAGCGAACAGGAUUAGAUACCCUGGUAGUCCACGCCCUAAACGAUGCUUACUCGUUGUUUGGACGGAAGUUUGAGCGACCAAGGGAAACCGAUAAGUAAGCCACCUGGGGAGUACGCUCGCAAGAGUGAA